UCCGUAGGCGGAAUGGAAAGUCAGAUGUAAAAGUCCUGGGCUCAACCUGGGAAUGCCAUUUGAAACUGUCAUUCUAGAGUAUAGGAGAGGAAAGGGAAUUUCUGGUGUAGCGGUGAAAUGCGUAGAUAUCAGAAGGAACACCAAUGGCGAAGGCAACUUUCUGGCCAAAUACUGACGCUGAGGGACGAAAGCAAUGGUUAGCGGAACA
rnacentral:rRNA from 1 species